rnacentral:rRNA from 1 species
AUGAGUAGCACUCUGCUGAGUCUAGCUACCGAUUUCAGGAUGGACAAUAGGAUAGUUCCAUGGGACGAACUCACCGGUAGUGACACCAUAAUGAAUGAGUUGGCUCACGAAUUACGAAGGUCUGGGUGGCCUGAAAGGACCUAUGAGGAGGUACGUAAAGAACUUCUUAGGUUGCAUGAAAGGUGGAAGAAGGUGGUGGAGCCGAAGAGUGAAACUUUCAGAAGGACUGCAGAAAAGCAUUCAUUUUUAUGGACUGAGGAGAGCGAGGACGACGAUGAUAUCUUCAUGCCGCCGCUUCCGGGUUUUGCAUCGUCGAAGGGCAAGAGUUCUGCAUCGUCCAAAGGAAAGAGUUCUGCAUCCUCGAAGGGCAAGAGUUCUGCAUCGACCAAGGGCAAGAGUUCUGCAUCGACGAAGGGCAAGAGGACCGCAUCGUCGAAGGGCAAGAGGGCUGCAUCAACUGAGGAUGACGAUGAUGACUUCAUGUAG